GGUGAUCUUUCGCUACUGAUCAUGGACUCCAUUGGUAAAACUGAAAACCGACGAGAGAAUGCUGUAAUCCAAGACUGAUAAAUUGUGUGCUGAUUUAAACAAGUUGCGACUGGAGAACCACCUGCAGGUCGAGGGUCUAUGAGAAAGAUUCCUACCGUCAAAGAAACCAAACAAACCCAAGGUCACCGUGUACGACUUACUGAACAUUUCAUACCAACUCUUCCUCUGUUACUCGGGAAAUAUAUGACUGAUCCCGAACAAGUUGCAAACCUCUUGUCAAUCCCUCAAUACCUUAAUAUGGAAAUCUAUACUACCUCACGUCAAGAGAAGAGUCUAGAUUCGUUAUUGCGCUUGAUCCAGAAUAUAGUGGAAACUGGAAAGGCACACCACAACAGAAGUGUUGGAAGGCUGCGCUCAAGCGCUGUAAACUCGUGGCUUGCAUCGUCUUGCCUGUAAAAGCUGCGGCAGGUGUUAUUAGACACUAUGUCAAGUAUUACGAUGAUUACGGUGACAUCAUUAAGACAUUAUUGGGAAAAACUCGAAACAGCAACAAAAUUACCAGUGCAAAAUCUAUGGUUCUUAGUCUCUCAUUGCUGUUUCACGAUCUAACAAGGGAUGGUGGAAGUCGUAUUGAUCGGCAGUCAGAAGAAUUUCUUAGUGUCAAGGAAUUGGCCAAAAAAUUGGCCAUAUCAUUUGGACUCGAUACGGUGAAAAAUCGCGAAGCUAUCACCGCCCUUCAUAGAGACGGAAUUAUUUUUGCCACAAAUCCACUCGAGAAUCCAAACAAUCAAAUUGGCCCUCCUCCUAAUUUAGCGUUUCUUGAAAUUUGUGGCGAGUUUUCAAACAAACUGUUAAAACAAGACAAAAAGGUGGUUUUACAGUUUUUGGACCGAAUGCUGAUCAUGGGUAGGAUUUCACCUCGUCGAGAAUGGGAACCUAUCUUGUUCUACCGGAAUUCCUUGGUUCAUGGCGAAACUGAUCCACCUCCGCAUUCUGUCAGGAGCGCUAACAGACGACGUCGUCGCGAUACAGGUGGAGACGACGGUGAAAUCGCUGAUAACGAUGAUGGAUCAGAUCACGAAUUUGCCGAGUGCGGGUAGUAUCACCCGGUUUGACUUCAGCAUUUGAGUCUUGUGAAUGAAUGAAGUGAAUUCGUAGUAACAUAACAUGAAAUGUUAGUUUUUAUUAACGUUUGGUGAGGUGCUUUGUUAUUUAUCCUUUUGGCUACUGAACUGCGACACCUAAAUUUCCAUUUUAACAAUGGAUCCUGCUGUUGGAUGACGUACGAUCGCACUUGUUGGAUUCUCUAGGAUAAAUAAACACGUACA